rnacentral:rRNA from 1 species
GAUGAACGCUGGCGGCGUGCCUAAUACAUGCAAGUCGAGCGAACGGACGAGAAGCUUGCUUCUCUGAUGUUAGCGGCGGACGGGUGAGUAACACGUGGAUAACCUACCUAUAAGACUGGGAUAACUUCGGGAAACCGUAGCUAAUACCGGAUAAUAUUUUGAACCGCAUGGUUCAAAAGUGAAAGACGGUCUUGCUGUCACUUAUAGAUGGAUCCGCGCUGCAUUAGCUAGUUGGUAAGGUAACGGCUUACCAAGGCAACGAUGCAUAGCCGACCUGAGGGGAUGAUCGGCCACACUGGAACUGAGACACGGUCCAGACUCCUACGGGAGGCAGCAGUAGGGAAUCUUCCGCAAUGGGCGAAAGCCUGACGGAGCAAUGCCGCGUGAGUGAUGAAGGUCUUCGGAUCGUAAAGCUCUGUUAUUAGGGAAGAACAUAUGUGUAAGUAACUGUGCACAUCUUGACGGUACCUAAUCAGAAAGCCACGGCUAACUACGUG